rnacentral:rRNA from 1 species
UCCAGACUCCUACGGGAGGCAGCAGUGGGGGAUAUUGCACAAUGGGGGGAACCCUGAUGCAGCGACGCCGCGUGGGUGAAGGAGCGUUUCGGCGCGUAAAGCCCUAUCGGCAGGGAAGAAGGAGGACGGUACCUGACUAAGAAGCCCCGGCUAACUACGUGCCAGCAGCCGCGGUAAUACGUAGGGGGCAAGCGUUAUCCGGAUUUACUGGGUGUAAAGGGGGCGCAGACGGCAGCGCAAGCCAGGAGUGAAAGCCCGGGGCCCAACCCCGGGACUGCUCUUGGAACUGCGCGGCUGGAGUGCAGGAGGGGCAGGCGGAAUUCCUGGUGUAGCGGUGAAAUGCGUAGAUAUCAGGAGGAACACCGGUGGCGAAGGCGGCCUGCUGGACUGCGACUGACGUUGAGGCCCGAAAGCAUGGGGAGCAAACAGGAUUAGAUACCCCGGUA